rnacentral:misc_RNA from 1 species
CAAUGAGUGUUUUAUGGCACUCUUUAAAAAUCCAUAUCCACCUUGUGUGCAAUGUUUGUUGGGAGAGAGGCAACUCUUUCCCUUCACAAAUAUCAACCUAUAUCUUUAACUAAUUUGUCUGAAAAAUAUUAUGAAUACUUAAUUCAAAAUA